rnacentral:lncRNA from 1 species
UCGCAUACUAACUGCCACAUAGGAUGUGUCAUUUUUCGUUAAAGUCAACAUGACUUAACGGUUUUUUUAAUUUUUUGUUAGAAAAGUCGAGUACAGUGAGUUGACUGUAAGAAAAAAAAGUUCAGUUAUCCAUCUGUUGGUUGACAUAUAGUACAGUGACUUAAAAAAUAUUUAACCCUUGAAAUUGUUCAAAAGGGUCGGUCAAUGUUCUAUUGAAAUUCUU